GGAGUCUGGGCCGUGUCUCAGUCCCAAUGUGGCCGAUCAACCUCUCAGUUCGGCUACCGAUCGUUGGUUUGGUGGGCCGUUACCCCGCCAACUGCCUAAUCGGACGCGAGCCCAUCCCGAAGCGAAUAAAUCCUUUGGUCGGUGGAUCAUGCGGUCCUCCGACAUUAUGCGGUAUUAGCACCGAUUUCUCGGUGUUAUUCCCCACUUCGGGGCAGGUUGCUCACGCGUUACUCACCCGUCCGCCACUAAGCUUAAACGAAAAGCAAGCUUUCCAAUUAAGCUCCGUUCGACUUGCAUGUGUUAAGCCUGUAGCUAGCGUUCAUC
rnacentral:rRNA from 1 species